rnacentral:rRNA from 1 species
GAUGAACGCUGGCGGCGUGCCUAAUACAUGCAAGUCGAACGCUGAAGGAGGAGCUUGCUCUUCUGGAUGAGUUGCGAACGGGUGAGUAACGCGUAGGUAACCUGCCUGGUAGCGGGGGAUAACUAUUGGAAACGAUAGCUAAUACCGCAUGACAACAGUUAUUGCAUGAUAACUGUUUAAAAGGGGCAACUGCUCCACUACCAGAUGGACCUGCGUUGUAUUAGCUAGUUGGUGAGGUAACGGCUCACCAAGGCGACGAUACAUAGCCGACCUGCGAGGGUGAUCGGCCACACUGGGACUGAGACACGGCCCAGACUCCUGCGGGAGGCAGCAGGAGGGAAUCUUCGGCAAUGGACGGAAGUCUGACCGAGCAACGCCGCGUGAGUGAAGAAGGUUUUCGGAUCGUAAAGCUCUGUUGUAAGAGAAGAACGAGUGUGAGAGUGAAAAGUUCACACUGUGACGGUAUCUUACCAAAAAGGGACGGCUAACUACGUG